GGGAAAACUGAGCUGAUAUCAGUAGUCAGAAUUCUACUCAGAAGUGUAGGAUGAGAGAAGUGUAUGAUGAUAGAAGAGUAUGAGGAGAGAAGUGUAUGAUGAUAGAAGAGUAUGAGGAGAGAAGUGUAUGAUGAGAGAAGUGUAGGAUGAGAGAAGUGUAUGAGGAGAGAAGUGUAUGAUGAGAGAAGUGUAUGAUGAGAGAAGUGUAUGAUGAUAGAAGAGUAUGAGGAGAGAAGUGUAUGAUGAGAGAAGAGUAUGAGGAGAGAAGUGUAUGAGGAGAGAAGUGUAUGAGGAGAGAAGUGUAUGAUGAGAGAAGUGUAUGAGGAGAGAAGUGUAUGAUGAGAGAAGUGUAUGAGGAGAGAAGUGUAUGAUGAGAGAAGUGUAUGAGGAGAGAAGU
rnacentral:lncRNA from 1 species